GGGCUCCUGGGACAUUUUCACAAAAGAUUUAAAGGAUGACAGUUCUCGUGCUGAAAAAGAGUCUGAAUCUUCAGGUGAAAAGGAAACUUCAGAGAUCAAGAGUGGCUCAAAAGAGAGACACGAUCAUGAUGUUGAGAACAGACCUUGUGGAGAGCGAAAGUCUUCCUUGGAUGGAAGUGAUGUGGGAGACUGGGAGUCUCCACUUUUGGAGCAAGACAAUGAAUGUUCAUUUUCUUUUGAAAAGGUAAACUUCUUACUUUUUUUUUUUUUUUAAUAACCUUCCCUUUGUAGGUUACAUGUGUAUUUAUUUCAAAUUAUUUCACACUGUCACCUACAGGACGCAUUGCCUGAAAGUGAUGCUGCAAUCACAAGUCAUCUGGUAAAGCCUGAGACUCAACAGCUAGAAUGCAAAUCAGCGUUUCCUGAUCAGAAGGUAUUUCUGUAUAUAUUAUAGUAAGACUAUAACAUUUUACCUGAGAAGUAAAAGAUCAAAUUUACCUGUUCAAUAUUUAUGUAUUAUUAAGGGUUUACUUUGUGUUGAUGUUUAUGUGUGUAUUCAGGGCUCCAGUGAGAAUUUGACAACAGCUUUAAAAGAAAGUCCACAUGCUGAAAAGGAGUCUGAAUCUUCAAGUCAAAAGGUAGUUAUAUUGCAUAUAUAUUUUUACAAACAGCUCAGUUUUUGCUUAAGUAAGGAAAUAAAUAUUAAAAGAAUAUAUAUCAAUAUCCUAUCACAACCAAAAAAUAGCAGUUUGAUAUGAAAAAGUAGAGAUAUUGCAUGAAAAUGUACAAUUAUUCAAAUUAUUUAAUGGGAAAAACAAUGUGAUUAAAAAAGUAACUCAAGAAAUAGCACUAAUUAUUUGUUGCUACCUUUGCCUCAAAAUGUGCACUAUCUUUGAGAAAUGUGAAACUGUCACAAAUAUAACAUACUGUAGAUUUCAAUGUUACAGGUUCAUUUACAGAAAGGUUCCAUUACAGAAAAGGAAACUAGUAAUUGAUAAAAAAAAAUUAAAAAAAUACAAUUAAUCUGUUUAAUAGUAAAAGCCUGCAUAUCUAUUUCAAUCCAAACAUAUCAUUGGAAUUAUUUUUGUGUUACAGGACAAUGACAAGGAAUCUGACUUGCCUGAAUCAACUUACAUUUCUACAGAGAGCAGUGAGGCAGAAGAUAAAUUCUUUAGAUGUAGUUUGCCACAGGAGCCAUGUUUCUUUUUUAUUGACAAAAAAGAAUGGCAAGACCUGAGGAAGCAUCAGAAAGGAAGAUGUUUUCAAGGAUUACAGUGGACAAACGUAAUUGCAAAGGGAAUAAGGUCAAUUCACCCAUACUGCAGUUUUGGUUUCAAACGCCACAGCGUCAAAACCCAGCAGUCACUAAAAAACACUCCCCUAUUCAAAUGCACUGGCUACUGCCGGUUUGAAGAUUGCCCUGUUAAUGUUACUGUGGAAGUCACAGAUGAGGUCACCCUGAAGACUGCUGUGCUGUUCACAGGAGGAGAUGUAUGCCACAGUACCACUGAACUAAAAGGCAGAUGCACGUACUUCUACUGGAGAAACUCUGGAAAGCAAACUACCCAGAAGUGUCUAUUUGGAUUCCAUGCAAAAACUCCCAGAGAUGGUGAUGCAGUCUGGGUGCAGAGAUGAAGCACCAACAAAAGAGGUUCUGAAAACCAUUUCAUGGAGCCAAAGACAACUGAAAAGACCACAUUCAAAUGAACUUCUGAGUCUCCAAAUGCUAAUUAAUGAACAGAAGGGCUCAGACAAUGAAGUCCUCCAGAGAGUCAUGAUGCACCUAAAGGGCAUAAUGCUGUGGUCAAAGAAAACGCAGUCAGUGUUUUACAAAAGGUGGAAGGAGGACAUUGUCUAUCUGGAUGCAACUGGAAGUGUAAUUCAAAAAGGAAGCUCCGCAAGUCCUCCAUACUAUGUGUAUGAAUUAGUUGUGCGUAAUCCUUCCAAGGGGGCAUCUCCUCUUCCAGUUGCAACCUACCUAACUUGUGACCAUACCACAGCGUCUGUCACAUACUUUUUGCAGGCGUUUCAAACUGACAUGAUGAAGCUGUAUGGGAAAAAGGCAGUCAAAAGGCCAAUUAUGAUAAUUUGUGAUGGCUCCCUUGUGCUUCUAAAUUCUAUUUCGUUUACAUUCUGCAAACUAAGUCUGGAGGAUCUUCUGCAGAAAUACUUUGAAGUCAUCACUGGCCAAUACCAGGCAGAAAAGUUUGAUCUUCCCAUCCUUCACAGAUGCUUAAGCCACAUAAUAAAAAAUGCAAAGGAUCUGUGCAAAAACAGUAGGUCUUUUUUGAAAGGGAUAGUAGUUUAAAGUUUAUAGUAGUUUAAAACUAAUUUUGCUUUUUCUUGCUGUCAUUGUAGUAUGCAAAGACAUUACAAGCUUGGAAUGCACACUUUUGGGCUCCUUGCAUGUUCAACCAACCUGAACCAGAUGGAUGAGGUGCUUCUCAGUGCCACAGUUGUGUUCUGUAGUCCCUGCAGUGGAGACAAUGUGGCAAAGCAUUACAACAACUUAGUAGUUCUUAUGCAACAAGUGGGAAAACUGGAAUUGGAGGAACAAAACAUUGUUGCUGAGGACUACAAGAAUGAUGUGGGAACCACAGCUCUCGAGAGCCACUUCCAGCAGGUAAUAGAGAGAGCACCUCUUGACCUUGAUGGCGAAGAAAACAAUUAUCAUACUCCAGCAUUCAUUGCAAGAUUGGCCAAGUACUUCCUCCCACAUGCAACUCUGUGGUCUGGUCUGAUGCUAGGUGAUAUUGGCCGUCAUGGUACAGGCUCAGCAUACCAGCAUUUCAGCAAGAUUUAUAAAGAAGUCAGUCAGUCCAAUAAACAGAACUUUACACAAGACAAUCGAACACAGGGCAUUAUGGAAAAAAGCCAAUGGGACCUCAAAAAAAUCAGGUUCCAGAGAAGGAGACUGACACAACUGGAUGACUUUGUGCUGAUAUAUCAAAGGAUGCAUGAUGCACAUGCAUGAGAUCAAGAAAGAAAUUGUUUCGAGUGGAAAUGGAACAGUGGAAAAAGAAAAGUCAGGUGCUAGAUAAAGGAGUAUACGUUUCUCCACUAGUGAAGGGUCUGCCUUUCAAAGAUGUGAGAAGCAAGGAGAAGUCUUCAAAGGCACCCCCAGAAGUACUUAAGGAAAAACAAGAAGUUGUGAUCCAAAAUCAGGCAGAGAUGAAAGGUGCUGAUUAAAUGUAUGUGGAGCCCAAAACACUCGAGCAGACUGAAAAACAGAGAAAGAAAGCUCCAGUGAAGAAUAUUAGGAGAAGACGGUCGAAAAUCGAGGGGCCAAUCUGGGACGUGUUAAAUCCAUCUGAAAUAACUGCUCCUAGAAGACUAUCUAGGCCACCCAAAGUAAACAUGCUGCAACAAAUCCUUCACCAGGAUUUCUGGUUGUCUUCUGAUAUUAUCAACCUGGCCGGCUACAUCAUGGCAAAGGACAAUGUUCACAUUGAUGGGUUUCAGUCCGUUCUGCCCUUUAGUGCAAUUGCAAACGGAGGGAUUGUGGGAACUCCACAAAACAAAUUUGUGCAGAUUUUGCACAUUCAGCAAAACCACUUUCUGUGUAUGACAGUAAAAGUGCCCCUCUGGACCAAAGAACCCUACAAACACUGUCCUGGAUGGUAAGGCCACAGUCAGAACAUUUUUAUGUUCUCCAACCAGCUGUGCAGCAGCAAUCCAAUUUAAGCAAUCGUGGCGUGUUUUCAGUAGCAUUUGCAUAUGCUCUAUGCAAGGGUCAUCCACCAGAGCUAUGCAUGUUUAAUGAAGGCAGACUGAGGUCACAGCUGUAUGCUUCUUUAACAAAAAACAGCAUCUCAUUUAGCAUAAAAAUUUGAGAGAGUGAAACUCAGGCAAAUGUGACCAAAACUGCAGUACCAGUUUACUGUGUUUGCAGAACAGCACAUUACAAGGAGCUCAUGGUCCAGUGCUGCAACUGCCAACAGUGGUACCAUCCUACAUGUGUAGAUAUACCCAAAACUGUAAUUGGAACUGAUCAGGUCUGGCAAUGUGUCACAUGCCACUGAUGGACACUACAUGAGGUAGCAUUUCUUAAAACAAAUUUUAAAAUACGCCACAUUGGAUGGAACACCGAAAGAGUGCAAUAAGAAGAAAGAUUUUAUUUUUAUUUAUUUUUUUUAUGUUAGAAUAAUUGUAAAUUAUUUGAAUAUUCAAUUGAAACGACAUUGCUGUAUUUGAAACUUUCAUUUGAUUAUUUUUUUAUUUUAUUUUUUUUUUAAUAUAAAAAGUUAAUUGUGUAAAUAUUAAAGUACAGUGAAAUCCAAAUGUCUAUUUAUUUAUGUUCUCUCAAAAAAGAAAAAAAAAUGUUUGUAACCGUGCAACAUUAUGCAAAUUAUCUGCUUUUUCACGAAAAAAAAAUACAGUGUAAGAAUGCACUUUUUGGGGUGAGUUUGCCUUUAAUUUUCUCCAAAACUGAAUACAGUAAUAGUCAGGGUCACUCUGAAUAUAUAUCAAUUGAAAGAAUGAGCUAACCUAUAAAGCAGGGGUCUUCAACUAAAACGGCUCGAGGUCCAGUAAUGAACCCUCCCCACCAGCCGAGGUCCGAACAAUUAUAUAUAAAAAACAAUUGAUGGUUUUUGCCAGGCCAGGGUAUCUGCAGGAUAUUUAAGCUUAAAUUCAAGAC